GCCCAUUGUUUUUCCAGGAGAGAGAAACAAAUUUCAGUCCCUGUUGCUUGGCUACAGCCCCUCCAAGCCUCUUGGAACCCAUGGGUUUGUAACACCUCAGAAAAGCAGGCAUGUGCAGCUUUCCCUUCAAUUAUUUAUGCAGCUAGUUGUUGAUUCCUUUUUGUCUGGUGACCCCGAUGAAAUGUUUCACUAACUCCGCGCUCCUCCUGCCCAAGGCUUUAUGCUGUUGUCCUUGGCUUUUCCCUGGGAAUGCUCUCCAAGUGGGAAUCAAAUGUUUUCCUGGAAUCCUGAACGGGCAGCCCAGAAAGGAAAGUGUUGCCUGGGUAACUCAGCAAAACAACCCAAACCUGUUGGUUUGAGUGAGUGUGUGCUGUUUGCCUGCCGAGGCACAGAGCAGCACUUGGGCACCAAAAGUGAGCUCCUCUUCCUCUUCAGGGCCAUGCACAUCACACCUCCGAAAUGCCCCAAGAAAUUCUCUCUUUCUAAGUGAAUCAUCCAUCACAAACACCCUGGAUUCCUGGAUAUGUUCAAAGCAGGACAGACCCCAGGAGCUGAAGUGAGGAAGGGGCUGUGCCUGUGGUGCGGGAGUCACAGAUCAACAGGGGACAAUUUACAGCUCCAUUGUAACCUUCCCCCAAAACCUGGGUCCCACCACCACUGUUGGAGUUUAAAAACCAUCUGUGAACUUCAGCAGGGACUAACCAGUGCCCACAACCACACUGGGCUGCUGCAAUCCCACCCUGGAGCCCUGCCAGCGCCUGCACUUUGUCUGGGUGAACAAACAAAAAUCAAACUCAUAUUCACUGGACCAAUUCAGAACCUACAGCUUUAAUGGUCUAAGAAAAAUAUAAUAUAAAAACAGACACAAACCUGGCCUGUUGGUUCCCACCAAGAGAAGAAUCUCUUGUUCUCAUUCUCGGCUGCAAACCUGAAGAAGGAAGCCUAGAAGAGGUUCCUAAAAUGGCUGAGUACAUUCAAAUGAGGCAAGAACACCCAACAGAGCGAACAGGUGCCCAUAAAAAACCUUCCUGAACAUUACAUAAAACCUGACCCUCUUUAAGUAUUUUCUUUUCAUCCAACAGAUAGAUACACUAAUAAGGCAUUUAACAAGCCACUAAUGAAGCAGGAGAUCUUUUAGGCAACAAAAAUACCAACUUCAAGCGGGCAAAACCGUGAAAGGAAUUGAAAGUGGAGCGGCCGGCGCGUGCAGACCAGAGAUUCAGCUGGAUGAUCACGUAUCCUGCUACAGGUAUCACCAACCUAUCUUUAGGCACCUUCUGGAGAGCCAGCUCACUGAUACCAGCUGGAUCAGCCCAGGAAUUUGUUUGAUGUGCUUAAGAGGUUGGUAACAAUAGCUCCUAAGGUGACAGCGGCGGCAGCGUUGCGCGGUGACAGCGUUUCCUUGGAGACAGCGAAUCCAUCCAUCGGGAUCCCGGCAGGUUCCCCCUCUCCAGAGAGCCUGGAACUCCCUCCCUGAGCAGGGCCAGAGAUGGGAAGAUAAGCCCUGCCUGUAGACAAAUAGCCCU
rnacentral:lncRNA from 1 species